AGUGAACGCUGGCGGUAGGCCUAACACAUGCAAGUCGAACGGCAGCACAGUAAGAGCUUGCUCCUACGGGUGGCGAGUGGCGGACGCGUGCGGAAUACAUCGGCAUCUAUUUUUUCGUGGGGGAUAACGUAGGGCAACUUACGCUAAUACCGCAUACCACCUAAGGGUGUAAACCGGGGAUCUUCGGACCUUGCGCCACUGUUUGAGCCGAUGUCGGAUUAGCUUGUUUGCGGUGUAAAGGCCAACCAAGCCGACGAUCCGUAGCUGGUCUGAGAGGAUGAUCAGCCAAACUGGAACUGAGACACGGUCCAGACUCCAACGGGAGGCAGCAGUGGGGAAUAUUGGACAAUGGGCGCAAGCCUGAUCCAGCCAUACCGCGUGGGUGAAGAAGGCCUUCGGGUUGUAAAGCCCUUUUGUUGGGAAAGAAAAGCAGCAGGUUAAAACCCCGCUGUUCUGACGGUACCCAAAGAAUAAGCACCGGCUAACUUCGUG
rnacentral:rRNA from 1 species